rnacentral:misc_RNA from 1 species
GAUGAAGAACGCAGCGAAAUGCGAUAAGUAAUGUGAAUUGCAGAAUUCAGUGAAUCAUCGGAUCUUUGAACGCACAUUGCGCCCGCCAGUAUUCUGGCGGGCAUGCCUGUUCGAGCGUCAUUUCAACCCUCAGGCCCCCAGUGCCUGGUGUUGGGGAUCGGCCCAGCCUUCCUGUAAGGCCGCCGGCCCCGAAAUCUAGUGGCGGUCUCGCUGUAGUCCUCCUCUGCGUAGUAGCACAACCUCGCAGUUGGAACGCGGCGGUGGCCAUGCCGUUAAACACCCCACUUCUGAAAGUUGACCUCGGAUCAGGUAGGAAUACCCGCUGAACUUAAGCAUAUCAAUAAGCGGAGGA